GAGUCUAGUAGUACUAAGGUUCUCAGUUUUUGAGGGCCGAUAAACAGAGGGAUUGUAAAACAAAGUGCAGGUUGGGCAGAAAGAAAGGAACCUGAUUGUUGUUGGGAUAUUUCAUUGUCCAGCCGCACGGUUCCUACUGUGGCUGGGCAUCCUCGUUUUCCGGAACAAAUAUUCUCCUAGUCUUGACUAUGCCUCGAUUUUGCUUUU
rnacentral:lncRNA from 1 species